CCGGGGGCCUCCGCGGGGGGCGGCCCGGAGCAGGGCGUCCACCUCCACGUCGGUGACGUUCGGCACGCGGCGCGCGCUGCACCGGCACCUGCCGCACGCACGGGCGCCGGGGAUGCGCGCCGCGCCGCGAGGAGCCGGGCCGGCACGGGCAGGCGCCGGUAGCGACGGUGCCGGCUGUGCCGGUGGUGGCGGCGGCGGCGGUUGCGGCGCUGGCACCUGUAAGCGGUGUGUGGACUCGCGGGGACGUCCGGUGGCAGCCAUCUCAAGCCAGAGGACGAGAGGACUCUAGCCGCCACGUAUAUAAAGGAUUUAUAGUGAAAAACUUAGUUUUUACGGGUUAUACUUAUUUCUUUCUUCGGAAGCGAUUCCCUUUUAGUGAAAGCGUUCCGUUCCCCGUGUUGGAGACUGUGGCAGUGGAGCGUGCGUGCGUGCGUGCGGUCGGGUGGUGGUCGGUCAAAGUGCACCUGGCCUGGCACGGGCGCCGUGGUGACGUCACCGUCACUUAGUGGCGAAUGGCAGGCGUUGGUAUUGUUGGUAGGUCGACUCAGCCUCAAAUUAUUACCCUGUGCGGUGUGUAAACAUCGCCACUCGGGGAGACAAAGGCGUCCGGGCGUGGUGCCGGCCACGCGACCCCCCUCGUGUACCGUGCCGGCCUUCACAGGUGCUGCCACUCGCUAACAGCACUUGCCCUAAGAGUCUGUUAAGGCUACACAGGGGAUCUUUAUCUCUGUUGUGCGUGCGCGGUACCGACGG